rnacentral:rRNA from 1 species
UGCUUGGGAAUCUGGCUUAUGGAGGGGGAUAACUACGGGAAACUGUAGCUAAUACCGCGUAGUAUCGGAAGAUGAAAGUGUGGGACCGCAAGGCCACUUGCCAUAAGAUGAGCCCAAGUGGGAUUAGGUAGUUGGUUAGGUAAAGGCUGACCAAGCCGACUAUCUCUAGCUGGUCUGAGAGGAUGACCAACCACACUGGAACUGACACACGGUCCAGACUCCUACGGGAGGCAGCAGUGGGGAAUAUUGCACAAUGGGGGGAACCCUGAUGCAGCCAUGCCGCGUGAAUGAAGAAGGCCUUCUGGUUGUAAAGUUCUUUCGGUGAUGAGGAAGGCAGGUAAGUUAAUAGCUUGCUUGAUUGACGUUAGUCACAGAAGAAGCACCGGCUAACUCCGUGCCAGCAUCCGCGGUAAUACGGAGGGUGCGAGCGUUAAUCGGAAUAACUGGGCGUAAAGGGCACGCUCGCGGUGACUUAAGUGAGAUGUGAAACCCCCGAGCUUAACUUGGGAAUUGCAUUUCAUACUGGGUCGCUAGAGUACUUUAGGGAGGGGUAGAAUUCCACGUGUAGCGAUGACAUGCGUAGAGAUGUGGAGGAAUACCGAAGGCG